AUGUCUAGACAACCAUCCGAUGUUGUCUUCAAUAUAAAAAAGUUGAUUGGAAAACAAUUUGAUGACUGUUGGGUGCAAGAAAUGAGGAAACGGGUCCAUUUCAGCGUCGUUGAAGGGGAGCGAGGAGAAGCUUGUGUCCAAAUCCGUGGAGUCAGCUUUUCUUCCGUUGAAAUUGCAAGUGUUAUUUUUUCAAAGCUCAAGGAUAUCGUUCUGAUGUACCAAUUUCAUCACGAAUUAAAAGCGGUGAUAAGUGUGCCCAUUUUCUUCAGUGAACAACAAAGGGAGGCCAUAUUGUUGGCGGCAAAUAAAGCGGGUUUAACGGUAUUGCAGUUAACGGAUGAACCAACGGAUGAGCAACAAUUAAAGAAGAUACCAUUGUUGUUUUCGACAUGGGUGCUUGGUGUGUCCGGCACAAACAUAAAAGAUACACUGUCUCCGUCCUUGGUGUGUCCGGCACAAACAUUGAGGUCAAAAGUCAAUUUGGUGACCCCUGUGUGGGUGGGGAUCAGUUUGACGCUAUAG
rnacentral:rRNA from 1 species